AUUUAAAUAAUUUAAUUAAAAUAUUGAUUUGUGGUAUCAAAAAAAUGAAUAAAAUUCAUUUUAAAUU
rnacentral:tRNA from 1 species